rnacentral:rRNA from 1 species
UAGGGAAUCUUCCGCAAUGGGCGAAAGCCUGACGGAGCAACGCCGCGUGAGUGAUGAAGGUCUUCGGAUCGUAAAACUCUGUUAUUAGGGAAGAACAAAUGUGUAAGUAACUAUGCACGUCUUGACGGUACCUAAUCAGAAAGCCACGGCUAACUACGUGCCAGCAGCCGCGGUAAUACGUAGGUGGCAAGCGUUAUACGGAAUUAUUGGGCGUAAAGCGCGCGUAGGCGGUUUUUUAAGUCUGAUGUGAAAGCCCACGGCUCAACCGUGGAGGGUCAUUUGAAACUGGAAAACUUGAGUGCAGAAGAGGAAAGUGGAAUUCCAUGUGUAGCGGUGAAAUGCGCAGAGAUAUGGAGGAACACCAGUGGCGAAGGCGACUUUCUGGUCUGUAACUGACGCUGAUGUGCGAAAGCGUGGGGAUCAAACAGG